UACGUAGGUGGCAAGCGUUGUCCGGAUUUAUUGGGUUUAAAGGGUGCGUAGGCGGUCUAUUAAGUCAGCGGUGAAAUACUCCAGCUUAACUGGAGGGGUGCCAUUGAUACUGAUGGACUUGAGUCAAGUCGAGGUAGGCGGAAUUGACGGUGUAGCGGUGAAAUGCUUAGAUAUCGUCAAGAACACCAAUAGUGAAGACAGCUUACUGGGCUUAAACUGACGCUGAGGCACGAAAGUGUCGGGAUCAAACAGG
rnacentral:rRNA from 1 species